AAAGUCGUAACAAGGUUUCCGUAGGUGAACCUGCGGAAGGAUCAUUAUGAAUUUGAUUGAGUGGCUUUUUUUAAAAGCUGCUUUCAUUUUCUGUGAACUGGCGCUCUCUUCUCUUUUUGGAGGGAGUGUACUUUUGUAUUCUUGAUUUCUAUUCCAAAUCGAUUUGAUUGAAUCUCCGCAAGGAGAAGCGAUUGAAUUAUAAAACCAAGACAACUUUCAGCAAUGGAUCUCUUGGCUCUU
rnacentral:misc_RNA from 1 species